GGAAGAGAUCGCUACGUAGAUGAAGUAAACAAAAUUGUCCAAUUCGACCACAGAAACCGCCAUCAAGAGAAAAGUACUAUCUAAGUUGAACAUUAUGCAACACGCAAACGAAGAAUGUGCAACAAAAUUCUACAUCAACCUUUAUUUUACUUGUAAACCAUAUCAGACUUGAUCAGCACUAAGCAACUCAAUGAGCUCUAGCUUUUUCAGUUUCG
rnacentral:misc_RNA from 1 species